GAUGAAGAACGCAGCGAAAUGCGAUACGUAAUGUGAAUUGCAGAAUUCAGUGAAUCAUCGAAUCUUUGAACGCAUAUUGCGCUCUCUGGUAUUCCGGAGAGCAUGCUUGUUUGAGUAUCAGUAAACACCUCAACUUCCAUAUCUUUUUUGAAAUGGAAGUUGGACUUGAGUGAUCCCAACGCUUUUCCUCACCGAAAAGUGGCGGGUUACUUGAAAUGCAGGUGCAGCUGGACUUUUCUCUGAGCUAUAAGCAUAUCUAUUUAGUCUGCCUAAAAAACAGAUUAUUACCUUUGCUGCAGCUAACAUAAAGGAGAUUAGUUCUUGUGCUGACUGAUGCAGGAUUCACAAAGACGGCUUCGGCCGACUUUGUAAACUCGAUCUCAAAUCAAGUAAGACGACCCGCUGAACUUAAGCAUAUCAAUAAGCGGAGGA
rnacentral:misc_RNA from 1 species